AUACGGUCAAAAUACGCUUAAAACGCUGGUUCUCGUUCGAUCACCGCAGUUAAGCAACGUGGAGCCCAGUCAGUACUUAGAUGAGAGACUGUUUGAGAA